UACGUAGGGGGCGAGCGUUGUCCGGAAUUACUGGGCGUAAAGCGUGCGCAGGCGGUUUUGUAAGUCUGUCGUGAAAUCCCCGGGCUCAACCUGGGAAUUGCGAUGGAGACUGCAAGGCUAGAAUCUGGCAGAGGGGGGUAGAAUUCCACGUGUAGCAGUGAAAUGCGUAGAGAUGUGGAGGAAUACCGAUGGCGAAGGCAGCCCCCUGGGCCAAUACUGACGCUCAUGCACGAAAGGCGUGGG
rnacentral:rRNA from 1 species